UACGAAGGGGCUAGCGUUGCUCGGAAUCACUGGGCGUAAAGCGCACGUAGGCGGAUUGUUAAGUCAGGGGUGAAUCCUGGAGCUCAACUCCAGAACUGCCUUUGAUACUGGCGAUCUUGAGUCCGGGAGAGGUGAGUGGAACUGCGAGUGUAGAGGUGAAAUUCGUAGAUAUUCGCAAGAACACCAGUGGCGAAGGCGGCUCACUGGCCCGGUACUGACGCUGAGGUGCGAAAGCGUGGGGAGCGA
rnacentral:rRNA from 1 species